CCGACCUUAGCUCAGUUGGUAGAGCGGAGGACUGUAGUGGGUGCCCCCCAAAGUAAUCCUUAGGUCGCUGGUUCGAAUCCGGCAGGUCGGA
rnacentral:tRNA from 1 species